rnacentral:rRNA from 1 species
UACGUAGGGGCGCAAGCGUUGUUCCGGAAUUGUUGGGCGUAAAGAGCUCGUAGGCGGCUUGUCACGUCGGGUGUGAAAGACCCGGGGCUUAACCCCCGGGUCUGCAUUCGGGAUACGGGCUACGGCUAGAGUGGUGGUAGGGGGGAGAUCGGAAAUUCCGUGGUGUAGCGGUGAAAUGCGCAGAUAUCAGGAGAACACCGGUGGCGA